AGUGAACGCUGGCGGUAGGCCUAACACAUGCAAGUCGAACGGCAGCACAGUAAGAGCUUGCUCUUACGGGUGGCGAGUGGCGGACGGGUGAGGAAUACAUCGGAAUCUACUUUUUCGUGGGGGAUAACGUAGGGAAACUUACGCUAAUACCGCAUACGACCUACGGGUGAAAGCAGGGGAUCUUCGGACCUUGCGCGAUUGAAUGAGCCGAUGUCGGAUUAGCUAGUUGGCGGGGUAAAGGCCCACCAAGGCGACGAUCCGUAGCUGGUCUGAGAGGAUGGUCAGCCACACUGGAACUGAGACACGGUCCAGACUCCUACGGGAGGCAGCAGUGGGGAAUAUUGGACAAUGGGCGCAAGCCUGAUCCAGCCAUACCGUGUGGGUGAAGAAGGCCUUCGGGUUGUAAAGCCCUUUUGUUGGGAAAGAAAAGCAGCAGGUUAAUACCCCGCUGUUCUGACGGUACCCAAAGAAUAAGCACCGGCUAACUUCGUG
rnacentral:rRNA from 1 species